GAACUAGUUAUGGAUGUCAAAAAGGAGAAUGCAAUGAGAAGAUACUCAUCUGCAAACCAGGAAGUGGGUCCUCUGCAGACCUUGGAUCUGCCUGCAUCUACCUUUAUUUUGGACUUCUCAGCCUCCGAAACUCUCACAGAAC